GUGAGGCAGAACAUCUCUUGGUGCAGUAGAAGUGAAAACCAAGCCGUCUAUUCCAAGGGCAGGCUUCUCGUCUGGCAUCUUCAGAUGGGCUUGAUUUUUCUCUGAAGCAGACGGAUGUGAAGCCUGCCGCGGCUGGUGGGAUUUGUUUCCAUCAUCAUCUGCAGCUGGUGGGAUGCAGUCAGGUCAGGAUCUGCUGCCAAGUGACUUCUUUCCUCCUGCGUCUUGUGGAGUCCUGUGAGGGGAGGUCCAGAAAAGCAUGGGCAGCUGCGGCGGCUGCGAGGCAGGCUGGGAAAAUAACAAGGAAUGGCCAGGAAGAAAAAUCACUUUGCAACAACCGGACAUGCAGAGCCUGAGAUGGCAAAAAUUUACAGCAUCUCCUCCUUGGGCCUGAGAUGAGAUGACU